rnacentral:lncRNA from 1 species
UAAGCUUCAGGAAGGAAAAAAAAGCAGGAUAAAAAAGUUACCACUUUACAUAGAGUGGUCAUGGAAGGCAUCAUUAAAGAGGCAGUUUAAGCAGAGAGCUAAAUGAAGUGAUGUGAGAAGCCGUAUGAUUAUCCAGAGAGGAACAUUCCAGGUGAAGAAAACAGCCACUGACAUGAUUGAGGACCAGCAAGGAGGUCGUUAAGACUGAAGUAGAGCAAACAAGGGAAGAAUGAUCUAACUGCGAGCUACUGGACAAUUUGGAAAGUACCUGAAAUAACAGUUGAGUAUUUUGGAGAAAAUUCUGCCACGUGGAAAAGAAACAAACUGCGAAAAUGAUUUCCAUCCCAUCCAUUCUGUUUAAGAAAAAACAAAACAAAAAGGAUUUUGGGGUGACCUUGAUCUCAUAGAAUGCUGCAGACUGGAUUGAGGAAAGCAACAGUGAAUGCAGAGAGACUAGUUGGAGGCUAUUGCUGGAACCUAUAAAAGAUUACAGUUUGGACUGAAGAUGUGUUAGUGCAGAUGGAGAAAAGUGGAUGGACUGUACAGCACCUGGAAACUGAUUGUAUAUGACGGUGGAAGACUUGUAGGUUUUACACUAGUGACUCUUUGGAGGCAGAUGCCAUUACUGAGAUGGGAAACCCAGCAAGAGAUAUCCAGGGCCUAUACAAGUCUUUUUUUUUUUAAUUUUUUGAUACGGAGUUUCGCUGUUGUUACCCAGGCUAGAGUGCAAUGGCACAAUCUCAGCUCACCGCAACCUCCACCUCCUGGGUUCAAGAAAUUCUCCUGCCUCAGCCGCCCGAGUAGCUGGAACUACAGCACACUUCAGAAUACUCUCAUAGUAAAAGAAGAAAAAGAAGAAGAAGAAGAGGAAGAGGAAGAAAGAAGAAGGAGGAGGAGGAGGAGGAGGAGGAAGAGAAGAAAGAGCUUUUAA